rnacentral:rRNA from 1 species
AAUUGCAGAAUCCCGUGAACCAUCGAGUCUUUGAACGCAAGUUGCGCCUGAAGCCAUUAGGUUGAGGGCACGCCUGCCUGGGUGUCACACAUCGUUACCUCUUAUGUACACAUGUCUCGUGUUAGAUAGUGUGUUGGGGUGCAAGAUGACUUCCCGUGAGUUAUGUCUCGUGGUUGGUUGAAAAUCGAGUUCACGGUUGAGCGUGCCAUGGUAAAAUGGUGGAUGAGUAAUGCUCGAGACCAAUCAUGUGCGCGUCUCAGACUGGUUUGGACCCUUGACCCAGUGCGUCUUGUAUGUGGACGUCUUUAACGAGACCUCAGGUCAGGCGGGGCUACCCGCUGAGUUUAAGCAUAUCAAUAAGCGGAGGAAAAGAAACUAACAAGGAUUCCCUUAGUAACGGCGAGCGAACUGGGAAGAGCCCACCAUGAAAAUCGAUUGCCUUUGGCAUUCGAAUUGUAGU